AUCCAGCUGAGUCCCAAAUGGGAUGAAACUCGCGUCCUGGAU
rfam:Schistosoma haematobium scaffold120_12, whole genome shotgun sequence.